CGUGGUGGUUGGAGGUGGUUCCGGUGACUGGAGAGGAGUUUUGAUUGGCGGUUGCAGGCGGCGGAGAAUCCUUGAGGGCGAUGGGAUUUGGUUCCUUCUCGGAAGAAACCGCUUUCUCAAGCAUUUCAGCUUCAUUGGUGAAGUAGGGGCAAAAUGGUCAAUACUAUGAGCCACAGAAGGUUGUGUUUCUCUUGGUUGUUUGUGUGAAGAGGUAGGUCUUCGUAUUAGGCGAGGGAAAGAUUUUAUGUGACGAUUCCAUGCUUUUUUUAUGUCAUUUGUGGUCCCACAGUGAUCGACAAACUGUAUAAUUAGCAAAGUUAACUUCUUAUUUGUAUAAUGAAUGACAUGAGAUAUUGAUAUAAUUUAAUAAUAAUGUGAUUUGGAGUAAAA